rnacentral:piRNA from 1 species
CAAACAAACAAAAAACCUCGGGGUGUCUGG